CCUACGGGAGGCAGCAGUGAGGAAUAUUGGUCAAUGGGCGCGAGCCUGAACCAGCCAAGUCGCGUGAAGGAUGACUGCUCUACGGGUUGUAAACUUCUUUUUUAAAGGAGUUUAGUGAGGCACGUGUGCCUUUUUGUCUGUACUUUAUGAUUCAGGAUCGGCGAACUCCGUGCCAGCAGCCGCGGUAAUACGGAGGAUCCGAGCGUUAUCCGGAUUUAUUGGGGUUAAAGGGUGCGUAGUAGGGUUGUUAAGUCAGUUGUGAAAGUUUGCGGCUCAACCGUAAAAUUGCAUUUGAUACUGGCAGCCUGGAGUACAGUAGAGGGAGGUGGAAUUCGUGGUGUAGCGGUGAAAUGCGUAGAGAUCACGAAGAAUUCUGAUUGCGAAGGCAGCCUACUAAACUGCCACUGACAUUGAUGCUCGAAAGUGUGGGGAGCAAACAGGAUUAGAUACCCCAGUAGUC
rnacentral:rRNA from 1 species